GAUGAACGCUGGCGGCGUGCCUAAUACAUGCAAGUAGAGCGAACGGACGAGAAGCUUGCUUCUCUGAUGUUAGCGGCGGACGGGUGAGUAACACGUGGAUAACCUACCUAUAAGACUGGGAUAACUUCGGGAAACCGGAGCUAAUACCGGAUAAUAUUUUGAACCGCAUGGUUCAAAAGUGAAAGACGGUCUUGCUGUCACUUAUAGAUGGAUCCGCGCUGCAUUAGCUAGUUGGUAAGGUAGCGGCUUACCAAGGCAACGAUGCAUAGCCGACCUGAGAGGGUGAUCGGCCACACUGGAACUGAGACACGGUCCAGACUCCUACGGGAGGCAGCAGUAGGGAAUCUUCCGCAAUGGGCGAAAGCCUGACGGAGCAACGCCGCGUGAGUGAUGAAGGUCUUCGGAUCGUAAAACUCUGUUAUUAGGGAAGAACAUAUGUGUAAGUAACUGUGCACAUCUUGACGGUACCUAAUCAGAAAGCCACGGCUAACUACGUG
rnacentral:rRNA from 1 species